GUCUCAAAGAUUAAGCCAUGCAUGUCUAAGUACGGCUCUAGUACGGUGAAACUGCGAAUGGCUCAUUAAAUCAGUUUUGGUUCAUUUGAUCGUAAACAUUUACAUGGAUAACUGUUGUAAUUCAAGAGCUAAUACACGCUAAAAGUGGGUGUUUUUAAUACCCAUGCUUUUAUCAGAUCAAAACCUUUCGUCUUCGGGCGUUAUCGUUGUGGCGAGUCUGGAUAAUUUUAGCUGAUCGCAUGGUCUUGAACCGGCGAUGGAUCAUUCAAGUGUCUGACCUAUCAACUUUCGAUGGUAGCGUAUUGGUCUACCAUGGUUGUAACGGGUAACGGAGAAUUAGGGUUUGGUUCCGGAGAGGGAGCCUGAGAAACGGCUACCACAUCCAAGGAAGGCAGCAGGCGCGCAAAUUACCCAUUCCCGACACGGGGAGGUAGUGACGAAAAAUAACAAUUCAAGACUCGAAACGAGGCCUUGAAGUUGGAAUGAGUACACUUUAAAACUUUUAACGAGUAUCUAUUGGAGGGCAAGUCUGGUG
rnacentral:rRNA from 1 species